rnacentral:lncRNA from 1 species
UCUUUCCUCUUAACCCCCUAGCUCAGGACCUGGUAAAUACAGCAAAUGGGGAGUGAGUUUCUCAAGUGCCUGGCUGUGUCCGCCCCUUGCCUGCCCCGAGAUGCGGUGGUGGAACAGCAAGAGGAGCCUUGCCAGCCUGCAGGACUCAGGUGCUGCUAAGCCCUCCAGUUACCACGACUACAGCACUUUCCAAAGGCAUGUAGUAAUGGUGGGAGAACUAAAUGACCCUGAAAAUUCUGGAAAUGAGGAGAAACAGACUAAAGCCAUAGGCAGCAGAUGAAUGAAGAGAGAGAAGAGUGCUUUAGAACGCCUCCAUCACCACCUGUUGCACUGUCCUGAUGCUUGUGCUCCCCUUCAAGAGGCAGAUGGAACAAAUCUGGGAUGGCUGGCUCACUGUGAGUGUCUCCCAUGUCCCUGUGUCACAGACACAGGGUGUCAUAGUCACCCUGAAUGUCCACCAGUUAAUGUUUUCUUUGUGGCCCUGUUCACUGAUUUUGGAUCAGGCUAAUCUUUCCUCAGUGUCCUCCUCUCCCCUAAUUUGUGAGUCUGAGCUGAAAUCCCACUGACAUGAGGGCAAUAGAACAGCAGAAUCUGUGUCUGCAAGGUACAAAUUAGCGUGGGCUCUGGCUCUGAUGGGGUGGGAGGAAGAAAAUGCUUAGCAUUAACACAACAGCACUGGGCUCCAAACCUACAUUGAAUCUUUUUCUCUCUAAGGUCUUUGUGUUCAUUUAGAUGUUCCUUGAGCUGUCAGACAAAUAACUGUAUGCACUGCAGUGGGGCGGGAAAAUCUAUUCUCGGGUUCCAAACUUCCUUUCCCCUCCUUCAGUAGGUGGCCUGCUGUGCACUGGUGACCACCCUAGUUGCCUUGGCAAACCUGGCUGGCAUGGUGCUGACCGUCACCAUUCAGAGGGACUGGAUCGUGAGCUGACGGGUGACAACAUAGGCCAGCUGGUUGGUGAGUGGUACCGCCCUGGGUACUGAUCCUCUGAUCAGCUGGGAAGCAGAGAGCUGACAAGGCAAUCAGGGCUCUGAGAGAGGCUGACAACAGGCUUUAAGAACAUGUUAUUUGGA